CAAAGAUUAAGCCAUGCAUGUCUAAGUAUAAGCGAACUUAUACAGUGAAACUGCGGAUGGCUCAUUAAAACAGUUUGAAUUUAUUUGAUGAAUGUAUGAGAAUACUACUUGGAUAACCGUAGUAAUUCUAGAGCUAAUACAUGCAACGACGCCCGACCGUUUCACUACGGAAGGGCUGUAUUUAUUGGAUACCAAAACCAUCCUUCCCUCGGGAAGUUUUGUUUGAUGAUUCACAAUAACUGAUCGGAUCGCCACUGUGGUGGCGACAGGUCAUUCAACAUUCUGCCCUAUCAGCUUUCGAUGGUUGUGUAGUGGACAACCAUGGCCAUAACGGGUAACGGAGAAUCAGGGUUCGAUUCCGGAGAAGGAGCUUGAGAAUUGGCUACUACAUCUAAGGAAGGCAGCAGGCGCGCAAAUUACCCAAUCCCGAUUCGGGGAGGUAGUGACAAAAAAUAACAAUACCGGGCCUUUUUGGGCUUGGUAAUUGGAAUGAGGGAGAGUUAAACGGACCAUCGAGUAUCCAUUGGAGGGCAAGUCUGGUGCCAGCAGCUGCGGUAAUACCAGCUCCAAUAGCGUAUAUUAAAGUUGUUGCAGUUAAAAAGCUCGUAGUUGGACUUGUGUGCGCUGUCCGCGGGUGGCCUGCGCCCAAAAGGGCGUUUCGGUUCGGCCCCGGUGGCGCCUUGAAAUCUGCAGCUGGGGGGACGUUGGCCUUAACUGGUCGGCGACCGCACGCCGGCUGCUUGGUUACUGUGAGAAAAUUAGAGUGUUCAAGGCAGGCAUUGGGUGCAAUUGAAUACAUUAGCAUGGAAUAAUAAAAUAUGGCUCCUGCCGUAUUUUGUUGGUUUUGACUGGUGGGAGUAAUGAUUGAUAGGGACGGUUGGGGGUGCUAGUAUUGAGCGGCCAGAGGUGAAAUUCAUGGAUUCGCUCAAGACUAACUUAUGCGAAAGCAUUCACCAAGGACGUCCUCUUUAAUCAAGAACGAAAGUUGGGGGAUCGAAGACGAUCAGAUACCGUCGUAGUCUCAACCAUAAACUAUGUCGACUUGGGAUCGGCGGUAGUUUUUUCAUUAAGACACUGUCGGGACCACGGGAGAAAUCAAAGUGUCUGGACUCUGGGGGAAGUAUGGUCGCAAGGCUGAAACUUGAAGGAAUUGACGGAAGGGCACCACCAGGAGUGGAGCCUGCGGCUUAAUUUGACCCAACACGGGGAAACUUACCAGGUCCAGAGAUGUAGAGGAUUGACAGAUUGAAGCUCUUUCUUGAUCACUUCGGUGGUGGUGCAUGGCC
rnacentral:rRNA from 1 species